AAAAACCAAACUUUCCGUAAUUGUUCUAGAUUUUAAAGUUCUUUCUAAUGCUUGUAUAGACAAAUAUCUGGACGCUCAGCAGUAACCUCUGACAAAAUAAACUUAAUUUUAAUUUUUUUUUUCGAAACAUACAUAAAUAUGUAUACAUGUAUAUGCAUAAAAUUUUAUUUUCUCACAGGUCCCUGUAUAGGCGGAGUGCUAGGCCUGAAAGUGCCCAGAUAUUGUUUGUUUGGACAAACAGUAAACACAGCAAUAACACUUAAAUCUAAAGGAAGAGGAGGAAAAAUCCAUUUAAGCGACAGUACGUACCAAUUUAUUAAAGAUUCCGGAUAUUUUACUGUUUUUGAAAGAGGGUUCGCAACAACCAAGGGAAAUGGAACUAUCAAGACUUACUGGCUGGAAUCAGCAUCAGAGAUGUGAAGGGCUGUACAUAUUAUGAAUACUGGAUCAAUUGUUAUCCUUCCUUUCUUCUUUUUUAAUUUUCAUAUAUA